AAAACGUAGGGGGCAAGCGUUGCCCGGAUUCACUGGGCGUAAAGCGCGUGUAGGCGGUCCUGCAAGUCGGAUGUGAAAUCCCACGGCUCAACCAUGGAAUUGCAUCCGAAACUGCAGGACUUGAGGACGGUAGAGGUCGGUGGAAUGUCCGGUGUACCGGUGAAAUGGGCAGAUAUCGGACGGAACACCAGUGGCGAAGGCGGCCGACUGGGCCGGACCUGACGCUGAGACGCGAAAGCCAGGGGAGCGAACCGGA
rnacentral:rRNA from 1 species